rnacentral:rRNA from 1 species
GUCGAACGCUGAAGCCUGGUGCUUGCACCGGGUGGAUGAGUGGCGAACGGGUGAGUAACACGUGAGUAACCUGCCCCUGACUUCGGGAUAAGCCCGGGAAACUGGGUCUAAUACCGGAUACGACUGCCGGACGCAUGUCUGGUGGUGGAAAGUUUUUUCGGUUGGGGAUGGGCUCGCGGCCUAUCAGUUUGUUGGUGAGGUAAUGGCUCACCAAGACGACGACGGGUAGCCGGCCUGAGAGGGCGACCGGCCACACUGGGACUGAGACACGGCCCAGACUCCUACGGGAGGCAGCAGUGGGGAAUAUUGCACAAUGGGGGAAACCCUGAUGCAGCGACGCAGCGUGCGGGAUGACGGCCUUCGGGUUGUAAACCGCUUUCAGCAGGGAAGAAGCGCAAGUGACGGUACCUGCAGAAGAAGUACCGGCUAACUACGUGCCAGCAGCCGCGGUAAUACGUAGGGUACGAGCGUUGUCCGGAAUUAUUGGGCGUAAAGAGCUCGUAGGUGGUUGGUCACGUCUGCUGUGGAAACGCAACGCUUAACGUUGCGCGUGCAGUGGGUACGGGCUGACUAGAGUGCAGUAGGGGAGUCUGGAAUUCCUGGUGUAGCGGUGAAAUGCGCAGAUAUCAGGAGGAACACCGGUGGCGAAGGCGGGACUCUGGGCUGUAACUGACACUGAGGAGCGAAAGCAUGGGGAGCGAACAGGAUUAGAUACCCUGGUAGUCCAUGCCGUAAACGUUGGGCACUAGGUGUGGGGGGCAUUCCACGUUCUCCGCGCCGUAGCUAACGCAUUAAGUGCCCCGCCUGGGGAGUACGGUCGCAAGGCUAAAACUCAAAGGAAUUGACGGGGGCCCGCACAAGCGGCGGAGCAUGCGGAUUAAUUCGAUGCAACGCGAAGAACCUUACCAAGGCUUGACAUACACCGGACCGUCCUGGAAACAGGUCUUCUUCUUUGAAGCUGGUGUACAGGUGGUGCAUGGUUGUCGUCAGCUCGUGUCGUGAGAUGUUGGGUUAAGUCCCGCAACGAGCGCAACCCUCGUUCUAUGUUGCCAGCAUGUGAUGGUGGGAACUCAUAGGAGACUGCCGGGGUCAACUCGGAGGAAGGUGGGGAUGACGUCAAAUCAUCAUGCCCUUUAUGUCUUGGGCUUCACGCAUGCUACAAUGGCUGGUACAGAGAGAGGCGAACCCGUGAGGGCAAGCGAAUCCCUUAAAGCCAGUCUCAGUUCGGAUCGUAGUCUGCAAUUCGACUACGUGAAGUCGGAGUCGCUAGUAAUCGCAGAUCAGCA